ACGGGCACAUGGCACACAGGCUUGCAGCAGACAGAUGGGUGUGCAGCAGACGGGCACACAGCAGGACUGCUGGCAGGGGGAGGAGGUGCAGCAGGAGGGCUGGCAGCUAGACUGCUGGCAGCAGGAGGGGUCUGAGCAGGGGGAGGCCCCAGAGCAGAUGGGCACACGGCACACGGGCUUGCAGCAGACAGGUGUGCAGGAGACAGGCACACAGCAGGACGGCUGGCAGGGGGAGGAGGUGCAGCAGGAGGGCUGGCAGCUAGACUGCUGGCAGCAGGAGGGCGUGCAGGAGCUGGUGCAGGCUGACUGGCAGGGGCUG